CGAGAAAGAUGACGGAGCAGCGGAGCUUAGGGCCGCGUUCGGGUUCAAGUCUGCAGGUGAAUCUGACAGUCUGCAGGUGAAUAUGACACCGUCGCUCAAAGGGGAAGCCGAUUCACAGUCUGGCAGCCGGAUGUGGAUUUCCCCACGGCAACGGGAUUGGCUGCGGAGACAUCUGUCAGCAGAGGCGCUGAGGAGAGUCCACUUUUCUUCUUUACAGCUAAGAACCCUGGGAUCGGUGUGUACGGAGUUAGGGUUUCGCAGUCAGUAGAGCCUUGAACCUUUGUAAGGUCCGGUGCGCUCCUGAUGGCCCUUGACAACCCGCAGAAAGGGAUACUUCCCACGCCAGGUGGUACUCAGGGCUGCAGCAGGUCUCCCAGGUGAGAAGCCUC
rnacentral:ncRNA from 1 species